UGGGAUCGGGGGCUCACUCCCAACCCAAUGUGAACCAUACCAAACUGUUGCCUCGGCGGGGUCACGCCCCGGGUGCGUCGCAGCCCCGGAACCAGGCGCCCGCCGGAGGGACCAACCAAACUCUUUUCUGUAGUCCCCUCGCGGACGUUAUUUCUUACAGCUCUGAGCAAAAAUUCAAAAUGAAUCAAAACUUUCAACAACGGAUCUCUUGGUUCUGGCAUCGAUGAAGAACGCAGCGAAAUGCGAUAAGUAAUGUGAAUUGCAGAAUUCAGUGAAUCAUCGAAUCUUUGAACGCACAUUGCGCCCGCCAGUAUUCUGGCGGGCAUGCCUGUCCGAGCGUCAUUUCAACCCUCGAACCCCUCCGGGGGGUCGGCGUUGGGGACCUCGGGAGCCCCUAAGACGGGAUCCCGGCCCCGAAAUACAGUGGCGGUCUCGCCGCAGCCUCUCCUGCGCAGUAGUUUGCACAACUCGCACCGGGAGCGCGGCGCGUCCACGUCCGUAAAACACCCAACUUCUGAAAUGUUGACCUCGGAUCAGGUAGGAAUACCCGCUGAACUUAAGCAUAUCAAUAAGGCGGAGGAA
rnacentral:rRNA from 1 species